ensembl:lncRNA
GCCUCGCUAAACGAUGCACACCUGUAACUCACGUGACCCUGAUUAUUAUUGAAACGAGAACGAGGGCGUCGUGCCUUUAUAAGACUGCGUUAAUGGCGUUAAUGUUUCCGUGGAGUUAUCCCUUCCGUUGUUGUUUAUUGAUUGUUAAACAUGGCUUCAUUUGCAAAGGUGGUUGUGUGUGUCCUCAUUGCCUUUGUCUGUAAUGCAUUCUGUUUUACGAAGAGAGAUGUGAACUUUAAGGCCUCUGCAGUUGACCGCCAAAGUGAUGAUGUGGUUGUCACCACAACACCCAAUCCCCACAACCAGACCACAUCUGCCCAUACUGAAGCUGGUGGUGGUGCAAGUGAAGAUGCUGUGGCUACUACCCCAGCACCUAAUCCACACAACCAGACAACUUCUGCACAAACUGAAGUUACUGAUGGAGCCAGUGAAGAUGCUGAGGACCGCCAAAGUGAUGAUAUGGUUGUCACCACAACACCCAAUCCCCACAACCAGACCACAUCUGCCCAUACUGAAGCUGGUGGUGAGCCAGUGAAGAUGCUGAGGACCGCCAAAGUGAUGAUGUGGUUGUCACCACAACACCCAAUCCCCACAACCAGACCACAUCUGCCCCUACUGAAGCUGGUGAUGGAGCAAGUGAAGAUGCUGUGGCUACCACCCCAACACCAAAUCCCCCAACUACAUCUGACCACACUGCAGCUACCGAUGAUGCAAGUGAGGGUGCUGUGGCUGCCCAAACUGGAACUACUGUAUCCCAUACGACUGAAGUCUGAUUCGACUGCUCCUCUGGACACAAUGACCUGAGUCACUGUCUGGACUUUUUGCCUCUACAUGUUGACUGCAAUAAAGGACAGAUUUGUUGUUUUUAAUCAAAUGUUGUCUUGCCUUUUUCAAAUUGAGGCCUUGUCCUGUUUUGGUGGUGGAGAUGACUAUGAAGCCUCUUUCCUAACGUAUUUCCUGUAGUGGUUUUACUAUAUGCUUCAUGCAACAAGGCCUUCAACGACUCUACAAAUUGUGUCUGAAUUUGUAGAAUGGUUGAACUGGUAGUGAUGCACUAUAAUGGUGAACUGCUUGUGGCAUUUCAAAAAUCUCUACUGUACUGUUUGACAUGUACAUCUCAAGUGAAUUUGCGUGGUAAUUGGUAAACCGAUGUCCGUCCCUACUAAGGGAGUACUGGCCUUAGUAGGCUAACCCCCUGAAAGGCAUUCAAACAAUAACAGCCUAGUUGCGGCUGAGGGAACCUUGCCAUUGUGUUAACUGGUGUCUCUUGGCAAUACAGUUUACAAUGUUGUGCUGUGAAAGCUUUUCAUGCGUUUCAUGGGGUAUUUAGUCCCAGAGCAGCAGGGACCAAGUGCAUAGCCAGGAUGGGUAGUGGGACUCUCUCGUUCACAGGACCAUAUACAAUCAAAAUAGAAAUAUCAAAACUUGUCAAUCAAUGUAACGGCUAUAUAAAUGACAUACAGUGUAUGUACUUAACUUUUUAACACAG